rnacentral:rRNA from 1 species
GGGGGAUAACUACUGGAAACGGUAGCUAAUACCGCAUAACGUCGCAAGACCAAAGAGGGGGACCUUAGGGCCUCUUGCCAUCGGAUGUGCCCAGAUGGGAUUAGCUAGUAGGUGGGGUAAAGGCUCACCUAGGCGACGAUCCCUAGCUGGUCUGAGAGGAUGACCAGCCACACUGGAACUGAGACACGGUCCAGACUCCUACGGGAGGCAGCAGUGGGGAAUAUUGCACAAUGGGCGCAAGCCUGAUGCAGCCAUGCCGCGUGUAUGAAGAAGGCCUUCGGGUUGUAAAGUACUUUCAGCGGGGAGGAAGGGAGUAAAGUUAAUACCUUUGCUCAUUGACGUUACCCGCAGAAGAAGCACCGGCUAACUCCGUGCCAGCAGCCGCGGUAAUACGGAGGGUGCAAGCGUUAAUCGGAAUUACUGGGCGUAAAGCGCACGCAGGCGGUUUGUUAAGUCAGAUGUGAAAUCCCCGGGCUCAACCUGGGAACUGCAUCUGAUACUGGCAAGCUUGAGUCUCGUAGAGGGGGGUAGAAUUCCAGGUGUAGCGGUGAAAUGCGUAGAGAUCUGGAGGAAUACCGGUGGCGAAGGCGGCCCCCUGGACGAAGACUGACGCUCAGGUGCGAAAGCGUGGGGAGCAAACAGGAUUAGAUACCCUGGUAGUCCACGCCGUAAACGAUGUCGACUUGGAGGUUGUGCCCUUGAGGCGUGGCUUCCGGAGCUAACGCGUUAAGUCGACCGCCUGGGGAGUACGGCCGCAAGGUUAAAACUCAAAUGAAUUGACGGGGGCCCGCACAAGCGGUGGAGCAUGUGGUUUAAUUCGAUGCAACGCGAAGAACCUUACCUGGUCUUGACAUCCACGGAAGUUUUCAGAGAUGAGAAUGUGCCUUCGGGAACCGUGAGACAGGUGCUGCAUGGCUGUCGUCAGCUCGUGUUGUGAAAUGUUGGGUUAAGUCCCGCAACGAGCGCAACCCUUAUCCUUUGUUGCCAGCGGUCCGGCCGGGAACUCAAAGGAGACUGCCAGUGAUAAACUGGAGGAAGGUGGGGAUGACGUCAAGUCAUCAUGGCCCUUACGACCAGGGCUACACACGUGCUACAAUGGCGCAUACAAAGAGAAGCGACCUCGCGAGAGCAAGCGGACCUCAUAAAGUGCGUCGUAGUCCGGAUUGGAGUCUGCAACUCGACUCCAUGAAGUCGGAAUCGCUAGUAAUCGUGGAUCAGAAUGCCACGGUGAAUACGUUCCCGGGCCUUGUACACACCGCCCGUCACACCAUGGGAGUGGGUUGCAAAAGAAGUAGGUAGCUUAACCUUCGGGAGGGCGCUUACCACUUUGUGAUUCAUGACUGGGGUGAAGUCGUAACAAGGUAACCGUAGGGGAACCUGCGGUUGGAUCACCUCCUUACCUUAAAGAAGC